rnacentral:lncRNA from 1 species
ACCUUACCCAGAGUUGUAUGUGAGGAAAUAAAGGCUUGAGAGAUCUUGAGGUGGCAGUUUACAGGAGGGUAAAAGGAAACAGGAGUUAGAAUAAACAAUGUUAGUAAAAACUUGGAUGCAAGAUUGACCUUAUGCAAUCUCUAAGGUACAUUGAAUUGAAUGAGGGAGAGAGUUCUAAACUGCUUGUUCUCAGUCUACUCCAGGUAAAGCUUACAAAACUGCCUGUUGGGUUCUUUCAUCGUUAUUGUUGCCACUGGAAGGGCUUUUACCACCACUUUUGAACUCUACAGCCUCCUGAAUAUAUCUGUCCAUCUAAGAAAAGGAUUAAAUUCAAGAUAACCCUUGUCAUCUGCAUGCUGCCACAUGGUUAGGAUGAAGACUGACACACGAGACAAGUGAUGGAGUGUCACAGCCACAGAGGGGCACAUCAACCUGAUACAAGAGAAAUGGAGCGAGGAGAGGUUAAAUCACAGAAUUUGGAAAGAAAAAGGGCAUCCAACAGCCUUAAAGAUGAAGAAAUGGAAGCUC